rnacentral:rRNA from 1 species
GACGUAGGAGGCGAGCGUUAUCCGGAUUCACUGGGCGUAAAGCGCAUGUAGGCGGAUGUCUAAGUCGUGUGUUAAAGCCCCUGGCUCAACUGGGGGAGGUCAUGCGAGACUGGAUGACUUGAGGGCAACAGAGGCACGUGGAACUCCCGGUGUAGCGGUGGAAUGCGUAGAGAUCGGGAAGAACACCCGUGGCGAAGGCGGCGUGCUGGGUUGCAACUGACGCUGAGAUGCGAAAGUGUGGGGAGCAAACGGGG